GCCGAGGUAGCUCAGUGGUAGAGCGUAUGCCUGAAGAGCAUAGCGUCGGCAGUUCGAUUCUGCCCCUCGGCACCA
rnacentral:tRNA from 1 species